UACAGAGGUCCCGAGCGUUGUUCGGAUUCACUGGGCGUAAAGGGUGCGUAGGUGGCGAGGUAAGUCGGAUGUGAAAGCUCGGAGCUCAACUCCGAAAUGGCAUUGGAAACUACCUUGCUCGAGGGUUGGAGGGGGACUGGAAUUCUCGGUGUAGCAGUGAAAUGCGUAGAUAUCGAGAGGAACAUCAGUGGCGAAGGCGGUUCUCUGGGCCUUACCUGACGCUGAGGAGCGAAAGCGUGGGGAGCGAACAGG
rnacentral:rRNA from 1 species